UAGGGAAUCUUCCACAAUGGACGAAAGUCUGAUGGAGCAACGCCGCGUGAGUGAAGAAGGGUUUCGGCUCGUAAAGCUCUGUUGGUAGUGAAGAAAGAUAGAGGUAGUAAC
rnacentral:rRNA from 1 species